CUUUGGAGACAUCCUUGUGCACUUUCCAACCUCUUCCUGGAGUAACGGUGGCAAAGUCAGGCUACGCUGGUUCACUGUCGCAAUGAAAACAACUCCCCUCCUCCAGUUUCCCAGAAACUGUAAUUUAGUUACAUGAGAAGAAAUAACUUCAAAUGCACCUACACUCAGAAAUUUACGUUGAUAUUUGAAGAAAUUUAAUAAAUACAGAAGGACAUAAAAUAUAAAAUGUAUAUAUUUUUUUCCCUCCCCCAUAACUGUUCAGUUUAUUGUUGGUACAUUUACUUGAACACCUUUUAGAUCUCUGACUCUGUACAGCAUCAUAAAUAAUUUUGUUCUUUAAAUGUAUUAAAAAAAUAAAUACAUGG